UUCGUUUGCAGCAGCCAGCAGAAGAACACAUGGAACUACACUGCACAACAAACUGUUGUGACAUGAGGAUGGGCUGUCCCGACAUGAAGAUGGGCUGUCGUGACAUGAGGAUGGGCUGUCGUGACAUGAGGAUGCUGUCACAACACGCCAAGUUUCUGGGUGCAGGUGGGAGCUGUCCAGCAGGGCCUGGAGCUGCAGGGGCUCCCAGCUGCUGCUCUGCCUCACAUCCUGGGAGCCACCGACUCUGUUCUGCUGCACCAGGCAAACACCAGGGGUUGGUUUCAUCUCCUGUAAAAGCAAGAGAAACGGUGUGCAGUGAGUCCUCCCUUCUUUAUGAGCACACACACACACACACACGGUUUGUGGCCUCGGUGUUGGUGCCAAACAAGCUCAGCACAGCUGUGGCAGCCCUCCAUCCCUGCUGGAAAGGAAGCACCCACCUGCACAGGUCACUGUGGGAAACACAAAACUGAUCGUAUAGGGAUUUGUUUAAGGCUGCAUCGUAUCCCUUACAUGAAAGCAGUAUCUGUAGGAGCACUCUUUAUUCCUUUCCUGCAGGGCUUUCUUGAGUAUCUUUUUUCCCAUCUGUGUUUUAGGACCCUUCCCAUUUCACCUCUUACUGAUAAACCAUUAGGCUGAAGAGCAAAAAGCAACACAACUGCUCCUCCAUUUGUCCGGUCAGAGACUGAAGGAAGCUAUAUGUGAUGGAAUUCAGCAAAGUAUUGUGUCACACCCCAAAAUUUAAACUGCUUCCACCAGGAUUGCGGAUAUGCACAAUGUUGGGCAUGCACACAAGUAGCUUGUCAAAUGGUGGCCUAAAAUGACGUGCUAUUUGUCAGUAUAAAUUCUACUUUAACACUUAUUCUGGACCACCAUGGUAAAAUAAAUCAUUAUCUUUGCCACUUAGUACUAAUGAAAAACAAUAUUAUCGGUAUUUCUUCUAUAGCAAUUCACUCAAAGAGAAAUGCUGUGCAAUUACAGGGGGUGGCUAACCAUGCCUCUUGAUCAACCUGAUAAUUAAUCGGAAUAGAAGAAAAAGCCCUGUAUUUCUGAGUGCUGAUCAGGCAGCAAAGGCACUCCAAACAUCUGAAGAAAAAACAGUUUGUUAAUUGCUGUCUAGACAGUUUAUUGCUGCAAUAAGAUCAAAACACAGAAUACUGAGGUUUGGGGUAUGAAUCAUGCAGACUAAACAAUUGUUUUAUUGCAUUUACAGAGCACUUGAUUUAUAAUGCAGUCAGUUUGGUAAUAAAAUUCCUCUAUUGUAUAUCCUGAAUAAUUUCACCUCUUUCUGCAUCUUUCUGUUUUAAUUCUUUAUCAGGAUGUUUUAAAAAUAUCCUUAUGGAGGGCAGAUUACUGUUGUGUACGUAUAAAGUUACCCAUCUCAGACCUCAGUUAUAUCAUCACUGAGCAUACAGUGCUCAGCUGAGCCUUUGUCAGCUGCUGGAACUAAGGACACAUUGAAGAACAGAUUUAUUGGGCUGCUGUGUGCAGUGAGCACACUAGAGGAGAAGUAAGACUGUCCCAUUGCAAGAGGUUUCAUUCUACUUCAUGCUGAACUAAAAGGAAUUGUUCAGGCAAGUGACUUUUUUUCUUUGAUACUUAUUACUCUGCAAAACAUUUUUCCUGAAAGGAAUGAUUCAUCUCUCUUCUUGUGUGAGUACCUCUGGAAGACCACAGUUUAAGGGGAUUUUCCCAGAAACCCAGAAACUACUGGGAUGAAGUAAGUUACUCUUGUCUUCAGUGAGUGCUGAAGUGAGAUAAGGGAAUAGCUGCAUGAAACUGAGUCUGCACAGUAUGCCAAUUUUCCAGGGAACAUAAAGUGUUGUUGCCUAUGUCUUUAUAUAAGAAAACUUUGUAUUGUUUUCCAUUUCUCAGUUUUGUGAUCAUUGUGAUCAUCCCAGUGUCCAUGAGAUGCAAAGACAAAACGAAUUGGAGUGUAGUUUUGGAGUGAAAUCAAACCAAAGAUCCCACGUAGGGCAGGACCAACUUUUCUGGGUAUCCUGAACACAUGAGGAGACAAAUCUGCAGAGACAGCUGGAGGAGCACAGGGGAUGGUGUGCAGCACCGAGGAGGAGCUGGCAUGAGAAAAGCACCAAGAGCCAUGGCUGUGAGCAUGAACCCAGGACUGCCCACCUCCAGGCUCCUCACAGCAGGGCACUGCCACUUCCAGGUGGAGCCACGACAGGACAGAUGUGGGAACACAACCUGAGCCUUCAGCAUCCUCUGCUCCCAAGCACUUUGCAGCCCAGCCUCCGGUGUCUGUUAAGCCCUCCCUUCUGUUCUCUGCAAAAAACAGCAACGAGGGAGAGGGACCCCCAUUCGUGUGCCGACCUCAGAAAGUUUGAGAACGACACCAGGCCUCAUCCAGUGCUCGCAGGGUCUGAGCAAAGCCCCGCACAUAAAACCGCCGCGUUAUUCCUUUUCACGGAGCCGCUGAUCCAUGACGCUGGAAGUAUUUUAAAGACAUUGACCCAGAGUCUCAGUAAUGGAGCUGGGGGUGGUAGAAAUGCCCGGUCUGUUCCUAUAUCUGCAGUUUAGGUUAUGUGAUCUUCCCGUGCUGCUUCAAAACCACAGAACACUGUGGGGGUGUUUGUGAAUUUGCACAACUCUUAUACUGCACCAUUGUAUGGUAAGUUAUAGUGGAGCCUCUCCUGAGCUCAUUAACAAAAGCCCAUUGUGUGAGGGUGUUAUGCCCCACGUGCUCAGCCCGGGACAUGUACGUGUCUCACGAAAGUACUGGGGAUCUUGCAUGAGAACUGCUUUCUAGUAUUUCUGCUUGGACUUUAAUGACAUUUGUGCAGGUGCACAGCUUGUAAAAGGAAUCUUUUUCAAUUCAGCUGUAGCAGCCAUUCCUAGCAAAGCUGGAUUUUUAGAAGCAGCCUCCAGAAUUGUUGCUGCAUCACUUAGUUUUACUCCUUAUUAUUUGCUAAGGCUGUGCUCGAGUGUAUUUCCAGUAAAUAGGGUAUUUCUGUGCGUGGCUGGGAGAAGGCUUGUGCCCCUCCAUGAAACCUAAAUCAAGUCCAGGGCAACUGCAAGGGAGGAUGCGUGCAGACACAAAUAAGCUCUUUUCAGCACAAUGCUGCUUCACAUUAGUAGACGAUUAAGUUUUAUUGCAAGAUCAAACCCUUUGUGUCAUCAGUGUACCUGACUGUGUUUGAUAUAACUUGAUAAGAGCUGAAGGUGUAAGUGGCAGGUGUGACCAUGCUUCCAUGACAGAAGAGACUGGCAACAGAUCCAGAAAUGGAUCACAGGUCGGUAGAUCAGCACUAAAAGGACUGUGGGGAAAAAAAAGUGCAGGGGUUUCUGUGCUGCUGGCAGCCAUCGCUGCCCCACCAGUCCCUGUGCAGUGCAGCUGCAGAUUUCUGGGAGCCCCCCGUGCUGCGGCCAUGGCAGUGGGGCAGUGGGGCUGCCCAGCAGUGCUUUGCAGGGCCGGCAUGGUGCACCCCUCCCCCCUCCUAAAUCCUGCAGGGCUCAAGCUUAUUUGUACAACAAACAAGGCCUGACUGGAGUUUACCGUGCAGAAUUGUGCCUCUCUAAUAUCAUUCAGCUGCGUGCGUAUUUCAUUGCAAAGAAAAUAGAGCAAGGACUUCCAUGAGGUUCCUUCAUUGGUGGCCAUUGCAUUGAUGCUAAUUGCUCAUUUGAAUUCUUCACGUGUAAAGAAGCUUGUUGGGCAGGGUUCUGAAAAAAUGUCCAUCAGCAGCCACUCAUUAAAGUACUCAGAGUUACAGGCACGAGUGGGAUCAGAGUCACCACUUCUAGUUUCUGUCACACAGGCACCAACCCUUUAUAAAUCAUUAAUUUCCAGACUGUUUAUUAUCCGGGGGAAGUAACAAAGCAGUAGUAUCACAUAACACAUCCUAAGAAUGCCUUGUUCAUUUUAAGAGCAAAUAAAACUGAAUAGCACCAAGUUGUUAGUGAUGCAGCCUAUGAGACGGAGCAGAAAGACAAAAAGGGGGAUGAAUCAGGCUGGGGCCACAGAACAAACAAGGGAAUGGGUCAAAAAAGCCCUUGUGCUAGAGAGCCUCCACGUCCCGUAUCUCCACACAGAUGCUGUUUGUUUGCUACCAGGUGGAAAUUGGCUCUGCUGGCUGCGCUGGGACAGCACGACAGUGCAAUGGGUGGGAAGAUUUCCCCAGCUGCUGUUGCCAUCCAUCGGCGCUCUCACAGGAAUGAUUUAGCUCCUGUCCAUGGGCAGGGAGCAGCGCGUUUCAAAAAAUAAUAAUCAAAAUUAAUUACUUUGCCAAGAAAGCAAACCGCUGUUGUUUUGCUUACAAGCCCCCUUCUGUAAUGCGUUGCUCACAUGUUGCUCAGGGUGUGAGGAGGAGCUGACAUUUAUGUUUGUGUCAGCUGUGCCACAGAGCUGCAGUGCGGGGCGGGGGGUGAAUGGGACCCAGUUCGUAGUGCUCACGGGGCAGUGCUGAGCUGUGCCCAUCACUUAUUCCUCCCAGUUCUGCUAGUAGCAGCAAUGCCCGGCGCUGUCAGGCCUCGCAAGCACAGACCGUGUUGGCUUCUUCUCAGCUUAGCUUAAAGCCAUCCCUGGUUUUGGAGGUACAAAGCUCUUUUCUGGCCAGCAUUACUGAGCUUACACUGGGCUGGCUUUUUUGCUCGCCUCAUUCAGCAGUCAAGUAUUGCACUUCUGAAGGUGAUGCUAACUGCAGCGCAGGCCUCCGAGACGAUUAUGGUCCAUGUGUUACUUAUUUUAGUCUCUUAAAGUUCCAAAACACUCCAUUUUUACAGUCGCUAUUUGAAGUUAUUGUUAGUUACAAAAUAUUAGAAACAUAGUUUCAUCUAUAAAAUGCAUAAUUAAUUUAAUCUUUACCAUAUUUUGUUUUACAUCGUACAGGAAGCAGUUUAGUCUGAUGAGUACCACAGGCGUGUAAUUAGUGCUAUAUACAGUAAACUUGAUUAUAACUUAUACUGUCCACCCUGGCUCCAAAAAUCCUUGCAGAUUUUCAUUCAGUUGCUGCCCUCUCUCUGAAUGAAAGCUUUUCAGUUCAGCCACAAUCAUUCAGACCACACCGGUACCUUUCCAUAGGUCGGAUGUGGUGGCAGUUCUAACACAGGAGUUAGUGGGAAAGUCUCCAAUUAGGCAUUUGCUCUGUGUUUAGCAUCUACCAGAGUUUAAAUGCUGACCAUCUGAUUUCUUAAGCUGAGGUUUGCCUAAGUCAGGGUUUAAUGGGCAUCAGGACUGCGAGAGAAAAGGAAAGAGAAAAUGCUUCUGAGGAAUUUCUGAAUUUCAGAGAGAAGGAGACACCUGCCCUGGCUGAAUGAAAGGCCCCUUACGUGCUUAUCUCCAACUGCCAACACUCAAACACCUUUAAAAAUCAGGCAGGAUGCUGAUUUCUUUUUUUUUUAAUGCUUAAAUGCAUAACAGCAAAUCCAUUAAAAAAUCUCCUUGCUCCUUUGAUUUGUUCUUUCCAUUGGCUGAGAAUCUUUGGCAAUGGAUGCACCUCUGAGGGAUCUGCCCUUGGUAGCUUUGGCUGAAGAUGACUGAGGUGUAGCAGCAGCUUUAGGGCAUCUAACAAAGCGCUCCUGCCAUGAGCUCCUGCUUCUGGGUGAGGCAUCCCUGGUGGGAGAGCAGUGCCCAUGGGGGCAACGGGCUGCUGCGCGCGGGGGGGCCUCGCCAGGAGGAGGGGCAGCAGGGGAGCGGGGCAGGCCAUCCAUUCUCCUAUUACAGGCCAUCCCUGUGUUUAUAUCAUCUUGUUUAGCUUACUCCUAAUGCACAUCCUAAGACGUACCUCUAAUACACAUCCUAAGACAUGUUUAUGAAAAUUCUUUAUAAGCAAAAUAUUUUACUUCCAUGGAGGAAGUUCAGAUACAGAGCAGCCUCAGCGCCGCGCGGUCCCACAUUGCUCCUGCCCUCCCUGUGCAUCUUUUCCUGAAAAAUUCAGCCUCCAGC